rnacentral:rRNA from 1 species
UAGUGAUUAACGCGAAGAACCUUACCCAGGCUUGAACAGCGAGUCACAUCCGGCGAAAGCCGGCUCCCGCAAGGGGACUCGUAGAGGUGCUGCAUGGCUGUCGUCAGCUCGUGUCGUGAGAUGUUGGGUUAAGUCCCGCAACGAGCGCAACCCUUGUCCUCUGUUGCCAUCAGGUUAUGCUGGGCACUCUGAGGAGACUGCCGGUGAUAAACCGGAGGAAGGUGGGGAUGACGUCAAGUCAGCAUGGCCUUUAUGUCUGGGGCUACACACGUGCUACAAUGGCCGGUACAAACCGUCGCGAUACCGCAAGGUGGAGCUAAUCGGAGAAAGCCGGUCUCAGUUCGGAUUGCAGGCUGCAACUCGCCUGCAUGAAGUUGGAAUCGCUAGUAAUCGCGGAUCAGCACGCCGCGGUGAAUACGUUCCCGGGCCUUGUCACACCGAAUCGAAUUC